UAGGGAAUCUUCGGCAAUGGGGGGAACCCUGACCGAGCAACGCCGCGUGAGUGAAGAAGGUUUUCGGAUCGUAAAGCUCUGUUGUUAAGGAAGAACGAGUGUGAGAAUGGAAAGUUCAUACUGUGACGGUACUUAACCAGAAAGGGACGGCUAACUACGUGCCAGCAGCCGCGGUAAUACGUAGGUCCCGAGCGUUGUCCGGAUUUAUUGGGCGUAAAGCGAGCGCAGGCGGUUAGAUAAGUCUGAAGUUAAAGGCAGUGGCUCAACCAUUGUAGGCUUUGGAAACUGUUUAACUUGAGUGCAGAAGGGGAGAGUGGAAUUCCAUGUGUAACGGUGAAAUGCGUAGAUAUAUGGAGGAACACCGGUCGCGAAAGCGGCUCUCUGGUCUGUAACUGACGCUGAGGCUCGAAAGCGUGGGGAGCGAACAGG
rnacentral:rRNA from 1 species